rnacentral:rRNA from 1 species
UACGUAGGGCGCAAGCGUUGUCCGGAAUUAUUGGGCGUAAAGAGCUCGUAGGCGGUUUGUCGCGUCUGCUGUGAAAACCUAAGGCUCAACCUUGGGCUUGCAGUGGGUACGGGCAGACUAGAGUGCGGUAGGGGGUGACUGGAAUUCCUGGUGUAGCGGUGGAAUGCGCAGAUAUCAGGAGGAACACCGAUGGCGAAGGCAGGUCUCUGGGCCAUUACUGACACUGAGAAGCGAAAGCAUGGGGAGCGAACAGG